UGUUAAUUGAUACUUAUCUGAUUCAAUUCUUCAUGUAUGUAAUUUGGUUUUCUUUUGUAGUCUAUGCUCUAGCUUUUCAAUAGCUCCGAGAACCAAACUUUUUUGACACUCUCAGAGAGAAAGAUUGGGUUGGGAACAAAUAGAAAAGAGAUGUUUAGUCUGCAAACAUUUAUCUAAACUCUAAACCCUAUUUAAUCGAUUUCCCAAUUUUAAUGUAAAAUUUGGGGUUUUGAUUCUUUGAUCUAAUAUAAAAUUUGCAGAUAUGAUAUGCUAGAGUUUAUAUAUGAUUACCACUACAUGAAAUUGUUGUGGCUUUGAAACCCCCAGGCCUGAGUUUUCAGGGAGGAUACCCGAGAAAGAGAAAGCUAUAUUAGGCUUAUCGUGGACAUGUUGAAAAUUGUUGAAGGGAUGAAGUCAUUCAGUCUCCGAUCAAUAUGCAAACACUUGAGAUGCUGGAGAAGGAGGAGAAGCUCCUUGGCAGCGUUGUAAUAAAGAAACACUACUGUUUCUAUGAGUCGCAUUUGUAAUUGAUUGGGGGUUCUUCAAAAUUGAAUCCUAAAGACGGUCUAGAGACGAAGGGGGAGACUCUUGGUGGAUUGGGUACUGCUGGUAGAAACAUUCACAAUCAGGAAGAAUUUCCAGGUCGUACAAUGGCAAUUAUUUUAAGUGUUUCUGCAAAUUUAACUCUCGAUUUCUCAAAUUUCUUUGUUUUGUUUUUGAGCUAGAAUCGAAGGAGAAGGGCAAUAAUGAGCUAGGGGAAUCCUUUUUUUCUUGUCUGUUUCAUUUUACAUCAAUUAUUACUUGAGGUAAAGAAGUAUUCAAUUUGCCAAAACUUCAGUAUCUGUAACUGUACUCAUCAAGUUUUGCAAAUUUCGGGACAAAAAUUUUUGGGAGAUGAGAAGGGUUGGAUGCCGACUAUAGUGAGGGAGGGAGACGGGAAAGAAGAAGAAAAAGAGAGACAGGGAGAAGAAGAGAAGAAAG